rnacentral:rRNA from 1 species
AGGGUUUGAUCCUGGCUCAGAUUGAACGCUGGUGGUAUGCUUAACACAUGCAAGUCGAACGGUAACAUUGGAGCUUGCUCCAGAUGACGAGUGGCGGACGGGUGAGUAACGCGUAGGAAUCUGCCUAGUAGUGGGGGACAACAUGUGGAAACGCAUGCUAAUACCGCAUACGCCCUACGGGGGAAAGCGAGGGAUCUUCGGACCUCGCGCUAUUAGAUGAGCCUGCGUUAGAUUAGCUAGUUGGUGGGGUAAUGGCCUACCAAGGCGACGAUCUAUAGCUGGUCUGAGAGGACGAUCAGCCACACUGGGACUGAGACACGGCCCAGACUCCUACGGGAGGCAGCAGUGGGGAAUAUUGGACAAUGGGCGAAAGCCUGAUCCAGCAAUACCACGUGUGUGAAGAAGGCCUGAGGGUUGUAAAGCACUUUCAAUUGGGAGGAAAACAGCUGGGUUAAUAGCCCUGCUCUUGACAUUACCUUUAGAAGAAGCACCGGCUAACUCCGUGCCAGCAGCCGCGGUAAUACGGAGGGUGCGAGCGUUAAUCGGAAUUACUGGGCGUAAAGCGUACGUAGGCGGUUAUUUAAGUC